CUUCUUUCUUUCUGGACCCAUAAAAGAAGAAGGCAGUCACGGUGUAACUGUCUGCACAGAGAAUACCUCCUGCACCAUGUCCUGCUCCGUCCUCCUCCUCUCUGUAAUUUUCUAUAGUGCCUAUACAUCGGCUCAGUUUACUGUGACUCAGGAUGCGUCAAUGUCAGUGUCUCCUGGGGAGAGUGCCCGUAUCACCUGUAGUCGAAGUGGGGGUUCUGUAGCUGGGGGUAACUACCCAUCUUGGUACUACCAGACACCUGGAAGUCCCCCUAAACUACUAGUUUACAGCGAUGGCAGCAACCAUAAUAACAGGCCCUCAGGAAUAUCAGAUCGAUUCAGUGGAUCCAUAUCUGGGGGAUCAGCCAUUCUGUCCAUCAGCAAAGUUCAGUCAGAGGAUGAAGGAGAUUAUUACUGUCUUCUCUAUGCUGGUAGUGUUAAUAUAAAUCUUUU